rnacentral:lncRNA from 1 species
UUACGUGAACGUAUAUAUAAUCAUAAUAUUAUUUUAAACGUUCCUAAAGGCCUUUCUAUGAAUAUUCAUUCUUAAUAAAUAAUGUAACUUUUGUGAUGGCCAUGAUUGAUUUAAUUAAAUGGCACACCUCAAUCUAUUGGUAGUAGAUACUACUUAUUUUAAAAGAAAAAGUCCAAGAUGUCGGGUUCACUAUAGAUUAAGAUUCAAAUUACCCUUACUAAUUAUAAGCUCAUAUGAGAUAAAACGAGACAUUAUAGUCCAAGAAAUACCUGAAGAUCAAAGAAAAAAAAAAGAGAAAUCAAGCAGUUCAGUGGAGUCAAUCAAGUAAAGAAGCAACAACAACUAGUCAACAAACCACUUCAGCUCAUACUCUAACUCAAAAAACAAAUACCCAAUGAAACCUUUUCAAAGUUCUUCGUUAAGAAAAGAAAAUCAGAAAACCCAGCCAUUUCCAAUGAAAUAGUGCAGAGAACAUUUGUAGUCUUUUAGGGUCUAAGUCUAUUCCUUUUUUUGAGUGAGAGAGGAUCUAUAUAUAGAACUUUUUGAUGCUAUGUACUGCUGAAAAUAGAAUGAAAAUUAUUCCCUCACUCAAGCAUCUUUUUUAACUACCUGGAUAGCUGGCUAUCCCUUAUUGGCUCAGCAUUUUUGUGCUAAUCCAAUGGGGCCAGCUGACACAAGUUUUAGAACCUUCCUAGAUACCUUCUAACCCAAAGUUGGAGUUAUAUCUUUCCCCAGCCCCCAUAAGUUCUUCCUUAUACCAUUGAACCCUCCACAAUUUUAAUUUCUUAUAAGUUAAAAGUAACAAACCAAAAAAAAUUGGCAUAAUUUGACUGAUUGAAAUUACCAAAUCCUUAGUGACCGACUCUUGAAUUAACUUUUAACUUAAAUAAUUUUAUUACUAAGAGAAAUCAGGAAUAACACACCAUUUGAACAAAUAAAACCAGUAUUAACAUCUUCUAAUGAUUGAACUAUCCCUGAGGCUCAAACCUUCUGAAUUAAAUAACACACGGCCAUUAGCAAAUAAUCACACUACAAUGAGAGAGAGAGAGAGAGAUUAGCAUGCUAAUUCCAAACGAGUCUGCUUAAACAUGAACUUAACACAUCUAGAUAAACCUAACCAAAUAGAAACUGAAGAUUUAACAAUAUUGAUAGAAGAUUCAUGAACUAACCUUAAGAUACUGGCUAACAACAAUGAAAAACAUAGAAAAAAAAUAAUCCUAAAAUGCUAAAAGCCUUAAAUUAUGCAACUAAACAGUCAUGAAGUCAUAAAAACUCAAGAGAAAGGGGAAGAAAAUAAUAGAGGGACACAAACAAGAUAAAAUAAUAAAGAAAUACCUAUGUUCGCUCCAAAUGGAAUCAACUAAGAACUCAAUACGACGUUAAACAAAUGAAGUGAACCUUUAACAAUCAUUAAUCGACUGUCCUUAAUAAGGAAUCAUCGAUUAAUGACAGUUUAGGGUUCGCUCGACCACAUGCUCACGAAGAAAGGAAAAAGAGGGAAAACCUAAAUCUUUUUCAGAACCCUUGCUUCAGCGUUGAUGGUCUUGGGGCUGAUUUGCGAGGAAACUAAAGCAUAUUCGGGGAGAGGGAGGGUGAGGGAUUGCAUGGUGUAAGUUUGGGGUUGUUUGGGCGACUUACACUUUUGGGAUUCUGAGUAUAGAUCCGAAAUUCGAGAUUUUUUAGGGUGAUUUUGGGAAACAGAUUAGGAGAUUCAAAAAGAGGAAGGAAAUGGGAUUAUAUGGUGUUAAUUUGGAGGGGGUCAGAGUGGUUUACACCGUCGCCGCAGGCAGAGAUGAUGGAGGUUUCAGGGGUGGCAGGCUUUAGGGUUUGGAUUGAGAGAGAUGAAAGAGUGAGAGGGGUUUUACUG